rnacentral:rRNA from 1 species
GAUGAACGCUGGCGGCGUGCCUAAUACAUGCAAGUCGAGCGAACAGACGAGGAGCUUGCUCCUCUGACGUUAGCGGCGGACGGGUGAGUAACACGUGGAUAACCUACCUAUAAGACUGGGAUAACUUCGGGAAACCGGAGCUAAUACCGGAUAAUAUAUUGAACCGCAUGGUUCAAUAGUGAAAGACGGUUUUGCUGUCCCUUAUAGAUGGAUCCGCGCCGCAUUAGCUAGUUGGUAAGGUAACGGCUUACCAAGGCAACGAUGCGUAGCCGACCUGAGAGGGGGAUCGGCCACACUGGAACUGAGAAACGGCCCAGACUCCUACGGGAGGCAGCAGUAGGGAAUCUUCCGCAAUGGGCGAAAGCCUGACGGAGCAACGCCGCGUGAGUGAGGAGGGUCUUCGGAUCGUAAAACUCUGUUAUUAGGGAAGAACAAAUGUGUAAGUAACUAUGCACGUCUUGACGGUACCUAAUCAGAAAGCCACGGCUAACUACGUG